UAACCAAGAAGCAGAAAGGCGGCGAUUGUGAUCAACGAGAAGACGUCGCUAGAGUUCAAAAUCCAGUAAAAAUACGAGUUGUUUUCUCAACAAACGAAUUUGUAAUAAUCAGUAAUCGAGAUCAAGAAACCCAAACUAAAUCCGAAACUAGUGAGAAAAUUUUAGAAUCAUCAGAUGCAUCUUCGAUGACAGUAUUAAAGUUUAUUUUUACACUCUGUACUUUAUAUUCAAUGUAACGUUUGUUUGUGUAUUUUCACAUCGUUUUUGUAUUCUACAAAAUUGUAUUUACAUUGUUUACUCUGUUUGCUUCAAUAAUACACAUUUGUUCAACAAAAAAGCCUGAGAAUAUAAUAUUAUUUUUAGACUCCUUCGAUAUAUAAAAUGACCGAUGAUGUAACCGCUUCGGCCUUCAAUGUAAACAAUGACGUCACCGGUGGAUUUUUCCACCGGUGAUAUUUGGCGCGCUGCAAGUGACAAAAGUCCUUUCCACAGCGGAAGUGAAGCGCGCCAUAGAAGGGUCUGGAAAGGACUUUG